AACGAACGCUGGCGGCAUGCCUAACACAUGCAAGUCGAACGAGACCUUCGGGUCUAGUGGCGCACGGGUGCGUAACGCGUGGGAACCUGCCCUUAGGUUCGGAAUAACUCCCCGAAAGGGGUGCUAAUACCGGAUAAUGUCUUCGGACCAAAGAUUUAUCGCCUUUGGAUGGGCCCGCGUUGGAUUAGCUAGUUGGUAGGGUAAAAGCCUACCAAGGCGACGAUCCAUAGCUGGUCUGAGAGGAUGAUCAGCCACACUGGGACUGAGACACGGCCCAGACUCCUACGGGAGGGAGCAGUGGGGAAUAUUGGACAAUGGGCGGAAGCCUGAUCCAGCAAUGCCGCGUGAGUGAUGAAGGCCUUAGGGUUGUAAAGCUCUUUUACCCGGGAUGAUAAUGACAGUACCGGGAGAAUAAGCACCGGCUAACUCCGUG
rnacentral:rRNA from 1 species